UGGGGAAUUUUGCGCAAUGGGCGAAAGCCUGACGCAGCGACGCCGCGUGUGCGAUGAAGGCCUUUGGGUCGUAAAGCACUGUCGACCGGGACGAAAACUCAGCGGCUAAUAUCCGUUGAGCUUGACGGUACUGGUAAAGGAAGCACCGGCUAACUCUGUGCCAGCAGCCGCGGUAAUACAGAGGGUGCAAACGUUGCUCGGAAUUAUUGGGCGUAAAGCGCGUGUAGGCGGUCUGUUAAGUCGGUUGUGAAAGCCCAUGGCUCAACCAUGGAAGUGCGUCCGAAACUGGCAGACUGGAGUCCCGACGAGGAUGGCGGAAUUCCCAGUGUAGAGGUGAAAUUCGUAGAUAUUGGGAGGAACACCGGCGGCGAAGGCGGCCAUCUGGGAGGGUACUGACGCUGAGACGCGAAAGCGUGGGGAGCAAACAGGAUUAGAUACCCCUGUAGUCC
rnacentral:rRNA from 1 species